rnacentral:rRNA from 1 species
GGAGGGGGCAAGCGUUGUUCGGAAUUAUUGGGCGUAAAGGGCGCGUAGGCGGCUGGGCAAGUCGAAGGUGAAAUCCCUCAGCUCAACUGAGGAACUGCCUCCGAAACUGCCUGGCUUGAGUCCCGGAGAGGGUAGCGGAAUUCCCAGUGUAGCGGUGAAAUGCGUAGAUAUUGGGGGGAACACCAGUGGCGAAGGCGGCUACCUGGACGGGUACUGACGCUGAGGCGCGAAAGCGUGGGGAGCAAACAGGAUUAGAUACCCUGGUAGUCCACGCUGUAAACGAUGGGCACUUGGUGUUGCGGGUAUCGACCCCUGCAGUGCCGAAGCUAACGCAUUAAGUGCCCCGCCUGGGGAGUACGGUCGCAAGGCUG